GACGAACGCUGGCGGCGUGCUUAACACAUGCAAGUCGAACGAAGUGGGAACGGGUGAGUAAUACGUGGGUAACCUCCCUCCUUUUUGGGAUAAGCCUUGGAAACGGGGUCUAAACCGAAUAGAUGUGCUCGCGGCCUAUCAGCUUGUUGGGGGGGUGAUGGCCUACCAAGGCGGUGACGGGUAGCCGGCCUGAGAGGGUGACCGGCCACAUUGGGACUGAGACACGGCCCAGACUCCUACGGGAGGCAGAAGUGGGGAAUCGUCCGCAAUGGAGGAAAGUCGGACGGAGCAACGCCGCGUGAGUGAGGACGGCCUUCGGGUGGUAAAGCUCUGUUAAUCGGGACGCGGUACCGGAAUAGAAAGCCACGGCUAACUACGUGCCAGCAGCCGCGGUAAUUC
rnacentral:rRNA from 1 species